rnacentral:rRNA from 1 species
CCUACGGGUCGCACCAGUGGGGAAUAUUGCACAAUGGGCGCAAGCCUGAUGCAGCCAUGCCGCGUGUAUGAAGAAGGCCUUCGGGUUGUAAAGUACUUUCAGCGGGGAGGAAGGCGAUGCGGUUAAUAACCGCGUCGAUUGACGUUACCCGCAGAAGAAGCACCGGCUAACUCCGUGCCAGCAGCCGCGGUAAUACGGAGGGUGCAAGCGUUAAUCGGAAUUACUGGGCGUAAAGCGCACGCAGGCGGUCUGUCAAGUCGGAUGUGAAAUCCCCGGGCUCAACCUGGGAACUGCAUCCGAAACUGGCAGGCUAGAGUCUUGUAGAGGGGGGUAGAAUUCCAGGUGUAGCGGUGAAAUGCGCAGAGAUCUGGAGGAAUACCGGUGGCGAAGGCGGCCCCCUGGACAAAGACUGACGCUCAGGUGCGAAAGCGUGGGGAGCAAACAGGAUUAGAUACCCUCGUAGUC